rnacentral:sRNA from 1 species
UCACCUUAGGAGUAAACACAAGGAUUCACUUCUUUUAGUUUAAGGAGAAUAUGCACUAAAUGACUAUGAAAUCAAUAAUAUUAUAUAAAUUAACCUUAAAUCACAUUACUUUGUCGGAAACAUGUUGAGAACACAUAUAAUUACGUAAAUAUCUUUUUUAACAUGUUUUUUUCCGAAAUACAUGCGAUAACAUAAUAUCCUCUUUUAUCUUGUUAUUUUCUCUUAUUACAUAGUACUUAUAAAAAACAUAUGGUAUUUUUUGGGAAAAACAUUCUAUUCAGUUUAAUAUCUCUUUUUAUCAUGAUAUUUUGUAGUAAUACACUUUUUUUAUUAAGAUCACACAUGAUUUCUUUAAAAAUAUAUUCUUAUUUUUCAGUAAUACACGGUUUUUAUUAAAAUCACAUAUAAUUUUUUUUUUUGAAAGAUUCUGUUCAUGUAAAAAAAUUUCAUAACAAUGUAUUUUCUUAAAAAAUCAUGACGUUUUUUGAAAUAUCAUGUUUUUAAACUAAAUACAACAUGUGAAAUUUUAAUGUUACAUGCUAUUUUGAAAAAUUACACGGAUGUAUUUCGUUUACUGUUCAUCUUGCAACAAAUGAAGGAUAACUUUGUUAUUUCAUUUCUUCCGACAACGUGGGUCCAUGGUUAUUUUGCAACAAAAAUCUUUCUCUCUGCUAGUUUCUUAAUUUGUAUGUUUUAUUUGGUUAUCUACUAAUAUUACCCUAGUUUAAGCCAAUCAUUAUGUCAUGUUAUAUGAUAUAUAAAUAGAAAUUAAAAAUUAAACAAUUCAAACAAUU